rnacentral:rRNA from 1 species
CGCGUAGGUGGUUUGUUAAGUUGGAUGUGAAAGCCCCGGGCUCAACCUGGGAACUGCAUCCAAAACUGGCAAGCUAGAGUACGGUAGAGGGUGGUGGAAUUUCCUGUGUAGCGGUGAAAUGCGUAGAUAUAGGAAGGAACACCAGUGGCGAAGGCGACCACCUGGACUGAUACUGACACUGAGGCGCGAAAGCGUGGGGAGCAAACA